rnacentral:rRNA from 1 species
UACGGGGGGGGCAAGCGUUGUUCGGAAUUACUAGGCGUAAAGGGCUCGUAGGUGGCCAACUAAGUCAGACGUGAAAUCCCUCGGCUUAACCGGUGAACUGCGUCUGAUACUGGAUGGCUUGAGUUUGGGAGAGGGAUGCGGAGUUCCAGGUGUAGCGGUGAAAUGCGUAGAUAUCUGGAGGAACACCGGUGGCGAAGGCGGCAUCCUGGACCAACACUGACACUGAGGAGCGAAAGCCAGGGGAGCAAACGGG